rnacentral:rRNA from 1 species
UACGUAGGGGGCAAGCGUUGUCCGGAUUUAUUGGGCGUAAAGAGCGUGUAGGCGGCCAGGUAGGUCUGCUGUGAAAACUCGAGGCUCAACCUCGAGACGUCGGCGGAAACCAUCUGGCUAGAGUCCGGAAGAGGAGAGUGAAAUUCCUGGUGUAGCGGUGAAAUGCGCAGAUAUCAGGAAGAACACCCGUGGCGAAGGCGGCUCUCUGGGACGGUACUGACGCUGAGGCGCGAAAGCGUGGGGAGCGAACAGG